UACGAAGGGGGCUAGCGUUGUUCGGAAUUACUGGGCGUAAAGCGCACGUAGGCGGAUUUGUAAGUCAGGGGUGAAAUCCCGGGGCUCAACCUCGGAACUGCCUUUGAUACUGCAAGUCUUGAGUCCGAUAGAGGUGAGUGGAAUUCCUAGUGUAGAGGUGAAAUGCGUAGAUAUCUGGAGGAACACCGGUGGCGAAGGCGGCGUCCUGGACCAACACUGACACUGAUGAGCGAAAGCCAGGGGAGCAAACGGG
rnacentral:rRNA from 1 species